GACGAACGCUGGCGGCGUGCUUAACACAUGCAAGUCGAACGGAAAGGCCCUGCUUUUGUGGGGUGCUCGAGUGGCGAACGGGUGAGUAACACGUGAGUAACCUGCCCUUGACUUUGGGAUAACUUCAGGAAACUGGGGCUAAUACCGGAUAGGAGCUCCUGCUGCAUGGUGGGGGUUGGAAAGUUUCGGCGGUUGGGGAUGGACUCGCGGCUUAUCAGCUUGUUGGUGGGGUAGUGGCUUACCAAGGCUUUGACGGGUAGCCGGCCUGAGAGGGUGACCGGCCACAUUGGGACUGAGAUACGGCCCAGACUCCUACGGGAGGCAGCAGUGGGGAAUAUGGCACAAUGGGCGGAAGCCUGAUGCAGCAACGCCGCGUGCGGGAGGACGGCCUUCGGGUGGUAAACCGCUUUCGCCUGUGACGAAGCGUGAGUGACCGUAAUGGGUAAAGAAGCACCGGCGAACUACGU
rnacentral:rRNA from 1 species